CGAGAGGCUAGCGAUAGCUUGUCACGAGCCUGAGUUGCUGGCAGACUUGCUGCAUGCGGCCGCUGAUAUCGAUGGCGAGCACGACGGCCUGACUGCACUGCUAGGUUCCGCGUCGCCCGACUUGGCGCUAGCGUCCGACGCGUCCGAUAGCCUGCCGAUCCCGGACCACGACAAUGACUGCACGUCGUCAUCAAGCGGGCUGCUGACGGGCAUCACGAGGGUGUCAGUAGCGGUAGCAGGGCUGGAGCGUCCUCAGCUCUCCGCCAAGAAGGUCCGGCCGAAGCCC